rnacentral:rRNA from 1 species
AUUGAACGCUGGCGGCAGGCCUAACACAUGCAAGUCGAACGAGUGGCGGACGGGUGAGUAAUGUCUGGGAAACUGCCUGAUGGAGGGGGAUAACUACUGGAAACGGUAGCUAAUACCGCAUACCAUCAGAUGUGCCCAGAUGGGAUUAGCUUGUUGGUGGGGUAACGGCUCAACAAGGCGACGAUCCCUAGCUGGUCUGAUAGGAUGACCAGCCAUCCUGGAACGGAGACACGGUCCUGAUUCGUACGUGAGGCAGCAGUGGGGAAUAUUGCACAAUGGGCGCAAGCCGGAUGCAGCCAUGCCGCGUGUAUGAAGAAGGCCUUCGGGUUGUAAAGUACUUUCAGCGGUGAGGCGUUACCCGCAGAAGAAGCACCGGCUAACUCCGUGCCAGCAGCCGCGGUAAUUC